rnacentral:rRNA from 1 species
CCCGCUGAACUUAAGCAUAUCAGUAAGCGGAGGAAAAGAAACUAACCAGGAUUCCCUUAGUAACGGCGAGUGAAGCGGGAAUAGCCCAAUCUGAAAAGCUGGUCAGCCCCGGUGCUGGUCCCGCAUUGUAGGUUGAUGGGGCGUUACCUAGUGUCAAGCCUUUCGAUUAAAGUCCCUUGGAACAGGGCGUCAAAGAGGGUGAAAACCCCGUGGAUAAUCGAAUGACAUACCAGCUUGAUGCGUCUACGGUGCGUCUCCUUAGAGUCGGAAUGUUUGGGAUUGCAUUCCAAAAUGGGUGGUAAACUCCAUCUAAGGCUAAAUACUGGCGAGAGACCGAUAGCGAACAAGUACCGCGAGGGAAAGUUGAAAAGCACUCUGGAGAGAGAGUCAAACAGUACGUGAAAUUGCUAGCAGGGAAACGUUGGGCACCAGUACGCGGCAAUCAAUGUCGAUGAUCAGUCGGGCGGAUGAGAGGUUCAGUGCGCGGUGUUUACUUUGGAGACUAUCCUCGGAUGGCUCACGCGUAAUGAAACUCUCAGCCACCGGUGCACUCUUCGGCAGCCGGGUCAACAUCGGUUAAUGACGUUCGAUAAGCCAUUGAGCAAGGUAGCAUCGGUAGGUUCGCCUACCUUUGAACUUAUAGGCUCAGUGUGCGAGGAUGUCGUUGACCGAGGCGGCAUUCGGUUCGCGCGCUUCGGCGCAGGGCGUAUGGAUGAGGUCGAGGCCGCCCGUAGCAUUAGGCAGCUUGCUGACUAGUGUUUAUUUUGUCGUGUUUACACGGCAGUGGUGGUCGUCUCGUCUAUGCAAGCCACUAGCGAGCCUAUGACGGUUGACGAAAUGGUAUUCAACGACCCGUCUUGAAACACGG